rnacentral:tRNA from 1 species
UGGGGCGUAGCCAAGUGGUAAGGCAGCGGGCUUUGGUCCCGCCACUCGGUGGUUCGAAUCCAUCCGCCCCAG